GGACGGAAGCUAGCGACACGAGGGAGGCCGCGAAUAAUUCGACUACGAAGUGCCUUUUUUUCCAUCACAGACGGGAGAGAAUGAGAGAAGUAGAUUCGUAGAGGGAGAGAGAGGGGGAGAGAGAGAGAGAGAGAGAGAGAGAGAUUAUAUAUAGUCGUCUCCGCCGUAUCAGAGCCGCAGCCACCCCACCAUCGCCCCAUUCUCUCUUUCUCUCUUGGCCGUGAAAAUUAUUUUGAUUAUUAUUAUUAGGAAUUAUUAUUAUUAUCCUAUCAUUUUGUUUCCACCCCGGAACCUAUACAUACGUAUCUGAACGCGUAUACGUCGUCUGUUAUCUCGUUGCCAACAGCAAGAGGAUUGAACAUUGAUCUUUGAGUGUUCGUUAUUUCGGGGAAUCUAUAGGAUUUUUGCUUUUUUAAUUGUUAGGCUUUUUGUUGAAACCCUAGCUGAGAGAGAGAGAGAGAUAGGGGAGAGAUGGCGCAGAAUGGGCAGGGAAUAGAGCCUGCUCUUUUGGAUGAUAUAAUCACUCGGUUGUUGGAGUUCAGGAACGCCAGGACUGUGCGGCAGGUUCAGCUCUCCGAGAAUGAGAUCCGCUCUCUCUGUAACGCUUCCCGAGAAAUCUUCCUGCAGCAGCCCAAUCUCUUGGAGCUCGAAGCUCCCAUCAAGAUCUGCGGUGACAUUCACGGGCAAUAUAGUGAUCUUCUGAGGCUUUUUGAAUAUGGAGGAUUCCCCCCUGAGGCCAAUUAUUUGUUCUUAGGGGACUAUGUUGACCGUGGAAAACAGAGUUUGGAAACAAUAUGCCUUCUACUUGCAUACAAAAUAAAGUAUCCUGAAAACUUCUUCCUUUUGAGAGGGAAUCAUGAAUGUGCUUCAAUCAACAGGAUAUAUGGGUUCUAUGAUGAAUGUAAGCGUCGGUUUAAUGUGAGAUUAUGGAAAACUUUCACUGAGUGCUUCAAUUGUCUUCCAGUAGCUGCUCUCAUUGAUGAUAAAAUACUGUGCAUGCAUGGUGGUCUUUCUCCAGAUUUAACACAUUUAGAUCAAAUUAGGACCUUACCUCGCCCAACUGAUGUUCCAGACUCUGGUCUGCUCUGUGAUUUACUCUGGUCAGAUCCUAGUAGAGAGAUUAAAGGUUGGGGAAUGAAUGAUAGGGGUGUUUCAUACACUUUUGGUCCGGAUAAGGUGGCAGAAUUCUUGAUGCAGCAUGAUAUGGACCUUGUUUGCCGUGCACACCAGGUUGUGGAAGAUGGAUAUGAAUUUUUUGCUGAAAGGCAGCUUGUAACAAUAUUUUCUGCUCCGAACUACUGUGGUGAAUUUGAUAAUGCUGGUGCAGUGAUGAGUGUUGAUGAAAGUCUCAUGUGCUCCUUCCAGAUUCUAAGGCCAACAGAUAGAAGGCCUAGGUUCAUAUGAAAUGCAACUUGAUUGGUGCUAGCUUAUUCUUCUAACAGCACCAAAGGCAAUCAGAUAUUCAAGAUACUGUGUCAGUUACUCCACCAUUCUAAAUAUUGAUGUUUAAGUUCCCUAGUAAAGAGAGAAGAUGGGGAAGAAUUUAACAGAAUUGAUUUUAUGCAGAUAUAACCUAUUUUGGGGAAGGACAGGGUGAGGAUGCUGGUUUUCAGUAAUGCACAAGCAAUGGUUCUGUUGUUGAUUCGGGGCGGGGGACUAAGGAUUUUGUUUCUGUUUGGGGUGGAUAUUUCUAUUACUUUUUAACUGUAGUUUGGAGGCAAUUGUUCUCCGGUUAACAACCUCAAGUGACUGCCUUAAGGGCAAGAAUUUUUUUUUUUUUUCUUUUAAUCUUCAUUUGAAUGUUAUUGGCAACUUAUGAUUUGACUUGACUGUGUAAAUACAUUUGGUUUUGUAAAUUGCGUUACUCUAGUCUAGUUUCCUUUUUCU